GGACCCGUAGCAUAACUGGAUAGUGCCCUUGACUACGAAUCAAGAGGUUGUGGGUUCGAAUCCCGCCGGGUUCA
rnacentral:tRNA from 1 species